rnacentral:lncRNA from 1 species
GAAAAUAAUCUCAAAAAUGUACUUGGGUGUAAGCUAGCCUCCUUCUCUGACCUUGAUGCCAUUUUCUUAGAGCCAAUUACUCCCGAUUGAACCAUUACUUUACUUCCAAUCUUUAUACACUUGAUAGAAAUCAAGUUGAAUACCUUUGUGAAAAGUUUUGCUUCAAUCUAACGAGUGGAUUGACAAAUAUCUAAAAAAACCUCAUUAGUCUUGAAAACCUAGAAUUUUAAGACCAUAACACAUAAAAACUUUUAUGCUUUUCAAUCUAACUAUUUGAUCAAAUCUAAAUUUAUAGCACACAUCUAAUACAACUACACCCACAAACUCAAAAAAAUUCACUUAUAGAUUUGUUAUCAAACUUCUGAAAUUGCCCAAAAUAUCAAUCCUAAUUUAUUUUCUAAAAAUUGAGAGUCACUAAUAAAAAAAUCCUCAACUUUGUAAACCUCUUAUAAAGUCAUUAUUUACUCAAAUUUCUCAAAAGUAGUGCCUACAAAAACCAUAUCAAUUAUCUUCUUAAACUCCACUCUCCAAUCAACAAAAGAAUCCCAAAAUUAUUGUCAAGGCUUGGUUUUAUGCCUUGAUUUCGACCCUAAUUAAUAACCUGUCUUCUCUAAGUAUCAAUUUUUGUCUCUUUUAAAGUAAAUUCUGCCAAAACCAAUUCCUACCUCCC